UGAGGAAUUUUGCGCAAUGGGCGAAAGCCUGACGCAGCGACGCCGUGUGCGGGAUGAAGGAGCUUCGCUCUGUAAACCGCUGUCGGGAGGGACUAAAAGCUCCGCUACGGGGCUGGGACGGUACCUCCAAAGGAAGGACCGGCUAACUACGUGCCAGCAGCCGCGGUAAUACGUAGGGUCCAAGCGUUGUCCGGAUUUACUGGGUGUAAAGGGUGCGUAGGCGGGUCUGUGCGUCAGAGGUUAAAGAUCCCGGCUUAACCGGGAAAGUGCCUUUGAUACGGCAGGUCUUGAGUGUAGAUGAGGAUGAUGGAAUUCCUGGUGUAGCGGUGAAAUGCGUAGAUAUCAGGAGGAACACCGGAGGCGAAGGCGGUCAUCUAAUCUACUACUGACGCUGAGGCACGAAAGCGUGGGGAGCAAACA
rnacentral:rRNA from 1 species